rnacentral:tRNA from 1 species
CUCCCGGUGGCCAAGCUGGUUAAGGCGCGAGACUGUAAAUCUUGAGAUCGGGCGUUCGACUCGCCCCCGGGAGA